rnacentral:rRNA from 1 species
CCUACGGGAGGCAGCAGUGGGGAAUAUUGGACAAUGGGCGAAAGCCUGAUCCAGCAAUGCCGCGUGAGUGAUGAAGGCCUUCGGGUCGUAAAGCUCUUUUACCAGGGAUGAUAAUGACAGUACCUGGAGAAUAAGCUCCGGCUAACUCCGUGCCAGCAGCCGCGGUAAUACGGAGGGAGCUAGCGUUGUUCGGAAUUACUGGGCGUAAAGAGUACGUAGGCGGUUAUUCAAGUCAGAGGUGAAAGCCCGGGGCUCAACCCCGGAACUGCCUUUGAAACUAGAUAACUAGAGUCUUGGAGAGGUUAGUGGAAUUCCGAGUGUAGAGGUGAAAUUCGUAGAUAUUCGGAAGAACACCAGUGGCGAAGGCGACUAACUGGACAAGUACUGACGCUGAGGUACGAAAGCGUGGGGAGCAAACAGGAUUAGAUACCCUGGUAGUCCACGCCGUAAACGAUGAUAACUAGUUGUUCGGUCACUUGGUGACUGAGUGACGCAGCUAACGCAUUAAGUUAUCCGCCUGGGGAGUACGGUCGCAAGNUUAAAACUCAAAGGAAUUGACCGG